rnacentral:snoRNA from 14 species
UGGAAAUGAUGAAAUAGAGAUAAUUGGGUGUUGAAUGUUGUAUGACUGGAAAUUAUUAGUAUUAAUGUUAAGAAAUUAUAAGUUUAAUGUUUUAUGGAUACUUACUAGAGUGUGUGUGUGUGUGUGAGCAUGUGUGUGCUUAUGGUGGCUAUGGAAAGGGGGCACUGAGUGGUGAUGCUGAUAUUGGAGUGCAUCUGAGGCUGUUGUAGAAAUAACAUGGGUUGUUGAUUACAACAUUGCCGAUGAUUAUGACCCAAAAACAGCUCACCUAAGUAGCCUAACACCCUAAAAUCUCUGACAGGUUCAUUAAACAUGGUCCUGUGAUCUGAUCCAA